rnacentral:rRNA from 1 species
GAUGAACGCUGGCGGCGUGCUUAUCACAUGCAAGUCGAACGAUGAAGCCCAGCUUGCUGGGUGGAUUAGUGGCGAACGGGUGAGUAACACGUGAGUAACCUGCCCUUGACUCUGGGAUAAGCCUGGGAAACUGGGUCUAAUACUGGAUAUGACUUCUCAUCGCAUGGUGGGGGGGUGGAAAGAUUUAUUGGUCUUGGAUGGACUCCCGGCCUAUCAGCUUGUUGGGGAGGUAAUGGCUCACCAAGGCGACGACGGGCAGCCGGCCUGAGAGGGUGACCGGCCACACUGGGACUGGGACACCGCCCACACUCCUACUGGAGGCAGCAGUGGGGAAUAUUGCACGAUGGGGGCAAGCCUGAUGCAUCGACGCCGCGCGAGGGAUGACGGGCUUCUGGUGGUAAACCUCUGUCUGUAGGGAAGAAGCGAGAGUGACCGUACCUGCUGAAGAAGCGCCGGCUAACUACGUGUAAGCAGCCGCGGUAAUACCUAGGGCGCGAACGUUAUCCGGAAUUAUUGGGCGUAAAGAGCUCUAAGGCGGUUUGUCGCGUCUGCCGUGAAAGUCCGGGGCUUAACUCCGGAUCUGCGGUGGGUACGGGCAGACUAGAGUGCAGUAGGGGAGACUGGAAUUCCUGGUGUAGCGGUGAAAUGCGCAGAUAUCAGGAGGAACACCGAUGGCGAAGGCAGGUCUCUGGGCUGUAACUGACGCUGAGGAGCGAAAGCAUGGGGAGCGAACAGGAUUAGAUACCCUGGUAGUCCAUGCCGUAAACGUUGGGCACUAGGUGUGGGGGACAUUCCACGUUUUCCGCGCCGUAGCUAACGCAUUAAGUGCCCCGCCUGGGGAGUACGGCCGCAAGGCUAAAACCCAAAGGAAUUGACGGGGGCCCGCACAAGCGGCGGAGCAUGCGGAUUAAUUCGAUGCAACGCGAAGAACCUUACCAAGGCUUGACAUGUUCCUGAUCGCCGUAGAGAUACGGUUUCCCCUUUGGGGCAGGUUCACAGGUGGUGCAUGGUUGUCGUCAGCUCGUGUCGUGAGAUGUUGGGUUAAGUCCCGCAACGAGCGCAACCCUCGUUCCAUGUUGCCAGCACUUCGGGUGGGGACUCAUGGGAGACUGCCGGGGUCAACUCGGAGGAAGGUGGGGACGACGUCAAAUCAUCAUGCCCCUUAUGUCUUGGGCUUCACGCAUGCUACAAUGGCCGGUACAAUGGGUUGCGAUACUGUGAGGUGGAGCUAAUCCCAAAAAGCCGGUCUCAGUUCGGAUUGGGGUCUGCAACUCGACCCCAUGAAGUCGGAGUCGCUAGUAAUCGCAGAUCAGCAACGCUGCGGUGAAUACGUUCCCGGGCCU